rnacentral:tRNA from 1 species
GACCUCUUCGUCUAGCGGUUAGGACAUCGCCCUUUCACGGCGAGUGCACGGGUUCGAUUCCCGUAGAGGUCG